GGCAUUAUAUCCACUGACAGUAAACAAAGAGAUUGUCCAUUACCUGGCCACAAUGGCCCAGCUGGUUUCUGGCUGAAAAUAUAUUUUUACAAGUAUUUUUUUUACAGCCCGCUAAUAAGAAUGUUGCCAGCUGUGAUAUUUGUGGGAAGACAGUCUGCUACACUCAUAAUACCACAAAUCUAAUCAAAUAUAAUCAGAAGAAAGGGCACAGCAAACUGUUACCAAGCAGAGAGCAAGACGAAGCCACAGUAGGACCAAAAUGAAUUUUAGUAAUUGAUAUUUCUAAGAAAUAAAAGAAUAUCGAGGACUGAAUGAGAAACUACUGCAAUCACUUAUCAGUUAGUUUGCAAUGACACUUUUCAUUUUUGCAUGUCAACUAUCUCUAAUUUCACCCUGUUAUGUUAAUGUCUGUUCUGCCAAUCAAAGGCUCCAUCGGUGCAAACUAACAUUUGUAAUAACUAGCCAGAUAUAUCACUUGACAUCAGAUAUAAACCAACAGUGUUGGCUAAAGGUAAGUGUUAAAAGCAAAAAAAAAAAAGUAAGAAAGAAAGGAAGAAAACCAGUAAGCACUGAGGAAACUGACUUGUUAGAGUACAUUCUAAUUACCAAUAAAUUAAAAACCCUCAGACCCCUGCAGCAUUGCAUUUAGUUUAAAAACCCUCCUGACUAUACCCCACUGAAAAGCAAUUUGAUCCUGUUGUAUUCAGUAUGAUGUGAGACUAGCCACUGAUAGGGGGACUUUGGAGCUGACUUUAACUAGUGUGCACUCUGUUUUUUUGCACUUGUACUGCAUCUGUGAAUGUCUGAUAAUCAGGCAAAUUAUCAGACGUUGUUUCCUCUGCACCAUGUCAGAUUCACAUACACUAAAUGCUGCUAGUCAUGACUUUAACAUAUCCUUUCCUCUUGCUCUACCCCUGAAGAGUCCACUCAGAAAUGGCUCUUCCUCAGUGAGCACCCACAGCAGUAAGAAAUGUUUGGGUAGCAGGUGCAGCAGCCUAAGCAGAGACUUGCAGACUUCCCACUUAAAGCACCUCACCUAGAAGGCAUCCAGGUGGCAGUCUAAUCAGAUGCCUAAACAACCUCAACUGGCUGCUUUCGAUGUUGAGGAGUAGUGGCUCCAUUCUGAUCCCUUCUGCAAUGACCCAGCUCCUCAUCCUACCUCUCAAGGAGAGUCCAGCCAUGCCAUAUCAUGGCUAAGUUAAAAAUAAAAUAUAAAACUAUCAAAUAGAAUUUGUU